rnacentral:rRNA from 1 species
UACGUAGGGACCAAGCGUUGUUCGGAAUUACUGGGCGUAAAGCGCGCGUAGGCGGCUUUGCAAGUCGAGUGUGAAAUCCCCAGGCUUAACCUGGGAACUGCAUUCGAGACUGCAUAGCUAGAGUAUGGGAGAGGGAAGUGGAAUUUCAGGUGUAGCGGUGAAAUGCGUAGAUAUCUGAAGGAACAUCAGUGGCGAAAAGCGACUUCCUGGACCAAUACUGACGCUCAUGUGCGAAAGCGUGGGGAGCAAACAGG